GGCUCUUUAGCAAAGUGGUCAGCGCGUUUGACUCUUACUGGGGAGUCUGGGCUUCAAUUCCCCGCCUGGGCCC